UACAGAGGGUGCAAGCGUUGUUCGGAAUCAUUGGGCGUAAAGGGUGCGUAGGCGGCGCGGUAAGUCGGGUGUGAAAUCUCGGAGCUUAACUCCGAAACUGCAUUCGAUACUGCCGUGCUUGAGGACUGGAGAGGAGACUGGAAUUUACGGUGUAGCAGUGAAAUGCGUAGAGAUCGUAAGGAAGACCAGUGGCGAAGGCGGGUCUCUGGACAGUUCCUGACACUGAGGCACGAAGGCCAGGGGAGCAAACGGG
rnacentral:rRNA from 1 species